rnacentral:rRNA from 1 species
GAUGAACGCUAGCUACAGGCUUAACACAUGCAAGUCGAGGGGCAGCAUUUCAGUUUGCUUGCAAACUGGAGAUGGCGACCGGCGCACGGGUGAGUAACACGUAUCCAACCUGCCGAUAACUCGGGGAUAGCCUUUCGAAAGAAAGAUUAAUACCCGAUGGCAUAAUUAGACCGCAUGGUCUUAUUAUUAAAGAAUUUCGGUUAUCGAUGGGGAUGCGUUCCAUUAGGCAGUUGGUGAGGUAACGGCUCACCAAACCUUCGAUGGAUAGGGGUUCUGAGAGGAAGGUCCCCCACAUUGGAACUGAGACACGGUCCAAACUCCUACGGGAGGCAGCAGUGAGGAAUAUUGGUCAAUGGGCGCAGGCCUGAACCAGCCAAGUAGCGUGAAGGAUGACUGCCCUAUGGGUUGUAAACUUCUUUUAUAUGGGAAUAAAGUUUUCCACGUGUGGAAUUUUGUAUGUACCAUAUGAAUAAGGAUCGGCUAACUCCGUGCCAGCAGCCGCGGUAAUACGGAGGAUCCGAGCGUUAUCCGGAUUUAUUGGGUUUAAAGGGAGCGUAGGUGGACAGUUAAGUCAGUUGUGAAAGUUUGCGGCUCAACCGUAAAAUUGCAGUUGAUACUGGCUGUCUUGAGUACAGUAGAGGUGGGCGGAGUUCGUGGUGUAGCGGUGAAAUGCUUAGAUAUCACGAAGAACUCCGAUUGCGAAGGCAGCUCACUGGACU